GGCAAAGACAUGCUUCAGCAUAAGCUUCUUCAGGGAAGCUCACCGAAAGGAGUUCAAACACUAAAGACAUUAGUGUGGAACCAUGAAGAAGAAGAAGAAGAAGAAGAAGAAGAAGAAGAAGAAGAAGAAGAAGAAGAAGAAGAAGAAGAAGAAGAAGAUGAGGUGGAGGAGGAGAAAGAAAGACAAAGAAGUUGAAGAAGAUUAGAAUAAGCCUCUCUCUGUUAAUAGAUAUUUAUGAAGAUGAUUUGCUCUUUAUAAAUAGCCGAAAUGUACACUUACAGUAACAUUUUACACAUUUACACCUUCAGUAAAAUCGUAUGUGAAUU
ensembl:lncRNA